AUUGAACGCUGGUGGCAUGCUUAACACAUGCAAGUCGGACGGUAACAGGUGUAGCUUGCUACAUGCUGACGAGUGGCGGACGGGUGAGUAAUGCAUAGGAACUUACCUUAUGGAGGGGGAUAGCUCAGGGAAACUUGGGGUAAUACCGCGUAAGACCGAGAGGUGAAAGGGGGCGUAAGCUUUCGCCAUAAGAUGGGCCUAUGUUGGAUUAGCUAGUUGGUAGGGUAAAAGCCUACCAAGGCGACGAUCCAUAGCUGUUCUGAGAGGAAGAACAGCCAACCUGGGACUGAGACACGGCCCAGACUCCUUCGGGAGGCAGCAGUGGGGAAUAUUGGACAAUGGGGGCAACCCUGAUUCAGCAAUGCCGCGUGUGUGAAGAAGGCCUUCGGGUUGUAAAGCACUUUUAGUGGGGAAGAAAAGCUCAAGGUGAAUAUCCUUGAGCCAUGACGUUACCCAAAGAAAAAGCACCGGCUAACUCUGUGCCAGCCGCCGCGGUAA
rnacentral:rRNA from 1 species